GGUCCUAUAGCUCAGUUGGUUAGAGCACCUGACUCAUAAUCAGGGAGUCCUAGGUUCAAGCCCUAGUAGGACCA
rnacentral:tRNA from 1 species